GCAAAACGCGAAGAACCUUACCUAGGCUUGAACUCCUACGAACCUAUUGUAAUGGACGGGGUGCCCGCAAGGGAAUGUAGUGAGAGGUGCUGCAUGGCUGUCGUCAGCUCGUGUUGUGAAAUGUUGGGUUAAGUCUCGCAACGAGCGCAACCCCUAUCGUCUGUUGCCAGCAUUUAGUUGGGCACUCUGACGAGACUGCCUGGGUUAACCAGGAGGAAGGUGGGGAUGACGUCAAGUCCUCAUGGCCCUUAUGUCUAGGGCUACACACGUAAUACAAUGGCGCGUACAAUGGGAAGCGAACUAGUGAUAGGGAGCAAAUCUCAAAAAGUGCGCCUCAGUUCGGAUUGGAGUCUGCAACUCGACUCCAUGAAGUUGGAAUCGCUAGUAAUCGGAGAUCAGCACGCUCCGGUGAAUACGUUCCCGGGUCUUGUACACACCG
rnacentral:rRNA from 1 species